UACGUAGGGUACUAGCGUUGUCCGGAAUUAUUGGGCGUAAAGAGCUCGUAGGUGGCUGGUCGCGUCUGCUGUGGAAACACACCGCUUAACGGUGUGCGUGCAGUGGGUACGGGCUGGCUGGAGUGCAGUAGGGGAGUCUGGAAUUCCUGGUGUAGCGGUGAAAUGCGCAGAUAUCAGGAGGAACACCGGUGGCGAAGGCGGGACUCUGGGCUGUUACUGACGCUGAGGAGCGAAAGCAUGGGGAGCGAACAGG
rnacentral:rRNA from 1 species